GAUGAACGCUGGCGGCGUGCCUAACACAUGCAAGUCGAACGAAGCUCUUACGACGGAACUCUUCGGAGGGAAGAUGUAUUAGACUUAGUGACGGACGGGUGAGUAACGCGUGGGUAACCUGCCCUGUACAGGGGGACAACAGUUAGAAAUGACUGCUAAUACCGCAUAAGCCUCCGGAACCGCAUGGUUCAGAAGGAAAGACUCCGGUGGUACAGGAUGGGCUCGCGUCUGAUUAGCUGGUUGGUGAGGUAACGGCCCACCAAGGCGACGAUCAGUAGCCGGCUUGAGAGAGUGAACGGCCACAUUGGGACUGAGACACGGCCCAA
rnacentral:rRNA from 1 species